rnacentral:rRNA from 1 species
UCGCCUGUUUUAUCAAAAACAUCGCCUUUUGUCAUAUAUCCAUAAAAGGUCCUGCCUGCCCAGUGACCCUGUUCAACGGCCGCGGUAUCAUGACCGUGCAAAGGUAGCGUAAUCACUUGUCUUUUAAAUAAAGACUAGUAUGAACGGCAACACGAGGGUCCAACUGUCUCACUAAAUUAGUCAGUGAAAUUAAUUUCUCCGUGCAGAAGCGGAGUUAAUCCUAUAAGACGAGAAGACCCUGUGGAGCUUUAAAUAUAAGCUAACAUUCACUAAUGCCAUGGUGUAUAAUUUUUGGUUGGGGCGACCAUAAGGAAAAACAAACCCUUAAGAUAUUAACUAGAAAGACAUUUCUAAAAAAUAGUAGUACUAACAUAUUGACCCAAUAAUUGAUCAACGAACCAAGUUACCCCAGGGAUAACAGCGCAAUCCACUCAUAGAGCCCAUAUCGACGAGCGGGUUUACGACCUCGAUGUUGGAUCAGGACCCCCCAAUGGUGCAGCAACUAUUAAAGGUUCGUUUGUUCAACGAUUAAAGUCCUACGUGAUCUGAGUUCAGACCGGA